GGUAACAAGGUUUCCGUAGGUGAACCUGCGGAAGGAUCAUUAAAUAAUGCAACGUAUGUGGCUUAGUUGCCAAUUGUCCUGAUAAUGAUGUGGGGGAGGAGGAAGGCCCCAGCGGGCUAGGUCCGGUCACAUUUAAAGUGUUAGUGGUAACUACUGCUAGCUUUAUGAUGCUGAAGUUCCUACCCCCCCUGGGGCCCUAGACAUUGAAAUUGCCGGGACAAUUGGCCCACAUGCGCGGCCGGGGACGCUUGCGUCCUGUCUGAACCCUUUGUUUAUACGUACCUCUUGUUGCUUCCUCGGUGAGUAUGCUCACCGGUGGAUAGCCUAUUUAAACCCCUUUGCAGUUGCGGUUAACUUCUGAUGUGGGCAUAAAUUUAGUUACAACUUUCAACAACGGAUCUCUUGGUUCUGGCAUCGAUGAAGAACGCAGCGAAAUGCGAUAAGUAGUGUGAAUUGCAGAAUUCAGUGAAUCAUCGAAUCUUUGAACGCACAUUGCGCCCCUUGGUACUCCAUGGGGCAUGCCUGUUCGAGCGUCAUUUACACCCUCAAGCACUGCUUGGUGUUGGGCGUCUGUCUUGCUAUUAUGUGCAGACUCGCCUUAAAAUUAUUGGCGGCUUCCCGGCUAGCUCCCAGCGCAGCAGAAUCAGCGCUGUGGCGGGCUCGGCCGGGCAGCGUCUCAGCAAGGCCCUUCGGCCUUGACCUCGGAUCAGGUAGGGAUACCCGCUGAACUUAAGCAUAUCAA
rnacentral:rRNA from 1 species